UACAGAGGGGGCAAGCGUUGUUCGGAAUUACUGGGCGUAAAGGGCGCGUAGGCGGCCUUCUAAGUCGAACGUGAAAUCCCUGGGCUCAACCCAGGAACUGCGUCCGAUACUGGAAGGCUUGAAUCCGGGAGAGGGAUGCGGAAUUCCAGGUGUAGCGGUGAAAUGCGUAGAUAUCGGGAGGAACACCAGUGGCGAAGGCGGGUCUCUGGGCCGAUACUGACGCUGAGGAGCGAAAGCGUGGGGAGCGAACAGG
rnacentral:rRNA from 1 species